rnacentral:rRNA from 1 species
UGGGGAAUAUUGCACAAUGGGCGCAAGCCUGAUGCAGCCAUGCCGCGUGUGUGAAGAAGGCCUUCGGGUUGUAAAGCACUUUCAGCGAGGAGGAAGGGUAGUGUGUUAAUAGCACAUUGCAUUGACGUUACUCGCAGAAGAAGCACCGGCUAACUCCGUGCCAGCAGCCGCGGUAAAUACGGAGGGUGCAAGCGUUAAUCGGAAUUACUGGGCGUAAAGCGCACGCAGGCGGUUUGUUAAGUCAGAUGUGAAAUCUCCGCGCUUAACGUGGGAACUGCAUUUGAAACUGGCAAGCUAGAGUCUUGUAGAGGGGGGUGAGAAUU